GACGGGAAUACAACAUGGCGCGCUGAGGGCUUGGCCGGGAGGUCGCUCGGCAGAUCGGGAGGGAGCUCGGCCGCUCUUGUCGCUCACCCCGAGACCUGCAGGCGAGCGCAGGAUGAACAAAUAUAAAGCAGUUGGUAAGAUAGGAGAGGGAACAUUUUCUAAUGUUCUGAAGACACUGAAUCUUAGGGACGGAAAGUACUAUGCAUGUAAACACAUGAAGCAACAUUUUGAAAGUAUGGAACAAGUGAAUAAUCUGAGAGAAAUAAAAGCGCUAAGGAGGCUGAGUCCACAUCCUAAUAUCCUUAUGUUACAUGAAGUUGUUUUUGAUAAAAAUGCUGGCUCCCUUUCACUGAUAUGUGAACUUAUGGAUAUGAAUAUUUAUGAGCUGAUAAAAGGAAGGAGAAAGCCAUUACCUGGGAAAAAAAUUAAGAACUACAUGUACCAGUUAUGCAAAUCUCUUGAUUACAUACAUAGAAAUGGGAUAUUUCACAGAGAUGUGAAACCUGAAAACAUAUUAAUAAAGCAGAAUACUCUGAAGUUAGGAGAUUUUGGAUCUUGUAGGAGUAUCUAUUCUAAGCAGCCACAUACUGAAUAUAUCUCUACACGCUGGUACCGAGCACCUGAAUGCUUGCUUACAAAUGGCUACUAUAGUUACAAAAUUGAUAUGUGGAGUGCUGGCUGUGUUUUCUAUGAACUCACAAGUUUUCAGCCUCUCUUUCCUGGAUCUAAUGAGCUGGACCAAAUUUCAAAAAUCCAUGACGUUGUAGGCACUCCUGCUAACAAAACUCUCAGCAAGUUAAAGCAGUCAAAAAUUGCAAGUUUUAAUUUCCCCUUUAAAAAAGGAAAAGGAAUACCUCCUCCUGUGCACAACUUGUCUUCUAAAGGCUUCUCUCUCCUGUACGCAAUGAUAAAAUAUGAUCCUGAUGAGAGAAUUGCUGCCCAUCAAGCAUUACAGCACCCUUAUUUUCAAGAACUCUGGGCAGCUGAUACACAAGCUUUGGCCACAAACAAAAAAUUAGGAUUACUACGAAAUACAGCAGGGCAAGUACCUCUGCAUUUGUGGCAAAUUGCAAAGGAAAGUCAAAGACAGUAUUCUCUUAGGAAAGUCCAGGAAAAAACAAAACAACACGGACCUCCUCAUGGAGAAUUACCAAAAUUAAAUCUUUCUGGUGUAGCCAAAUUGACUUCAUGUCCUACUCCUACACUGCACUCAGUUUUCCGGGCACCUAAGGAAAGCGGUGAAAGCCCCGUGUUACCCUCUAUUAGAUUUAUUGGAUCAAAUAUCAAGUCUGAGAAACAGAAGGCACUUAAGUCCUCCCCAAAAUGUUUCCACUUACCUGCUAUAGACCGAAGAGGAGGAGGAGGAGGAGGAGGAGGAGGUUACUGAGCACCUUGUGAAGUGUUUGGAGCGCAAGGAAAAGCCGCGACUAUGCAGUGAGGGACCCAGUCAUACUGCUAGACACCUUCUGCUGCUCUGGCUGUUGGAUUAGUAGGCAAACUUGAGUUCUCCCACCUGCUUUAUCGCUAAAAUACACUCAUCGUUAAACUACAAACUGGCAAGUAUCGCUCCUACCCUCAUUCUUCCAGCUCAAAUUCCAUACUGAGAUGAUCCGUGUUCCACUCAUUUUUAAACGAUUUCGUUUUUUAACUUUACUGUUCUUUCCAGGUAAGUUAUUAGGAUCCCUUUUCUUCCUAAAGUAUUUUUUAACACGUGGAAUGAAGGGUGGGAUGGGCAGUUCAAGCUUCUGAAAAAAGAAAAACCACGUGCACUCCUCGACUGUGAUUUGUAGCAGGGCCAUACUCUGCAAAGGCACCUGCCAGUAGCUGCUACCAGUACCCCAGUCCUGGAUACCACAGGCCUCUCAGUACUGCUUUUGUGUUUUUCCAGCUGAAGGAAAAAAGUCUUUUGACUCAGACCGACUGCAGCACUUGCACAAAAGAAGUCUAGAAGGAGAUACCCACACUAGUUUUCAGUGCUGAGCUUUAUCUGCAUUUUAACAGUUAAACCCCCCAUGUUAAUAAAACAGAACUUCUCAACAAUAAUCCUGCUCAGUUUCAGUAUUUUCCCCGUUGCUCAUAUUUUAGAAGAAUGUCAGUAGAUAAGAAUUGUAAAGUACAGCUCCAUCUUUAACAGACAGCCUAAAUGUCAGCUUAGAAACAUAUCUGGCAGUUCCCUACGUGCUGGCUGCAUUACAAGAGUAAGACUUAGUUCCAAGUACCUACUGCAGUUGUUUCUCCCCAAAUUUUAACUCCUUUUUCUGAAUGAAAAUGCCUGAAAACAUCCCAAGUUUAUUUGCAAUUUAAAACAUUCUACUCAGCUUUACUGCUGGAGAGCAGGAGGGGUGUUACUGUGUGCCCUCACCUACAGCCUGUGCCCAGGUGGGCACGUUGCCCAUUUGAGGCUGGUGCCCGGCUCCAACGGUCAGGAAAAGCCUGACUGGGAAUAUCACUACAUGGGAUAAAGGGAAAAAUAUGGUAUAGAUAAAUACCUAUAGAUAAAUACCUAUAGAUAGGUAAAUAAAUAAGGCUGGGCCUUUCGCUUCACAGCUCCCAAGACAAAUAACGGGGCUACAGGAUUACAGAAUCCUUGAAUCCUUGCCCCCCCAAAGUUGUCUGUCUGCAAGAUUUCCACUGUAUGAUGCAUUUCGAGAUAAAUCAUUAAGAACCAGAACAGAACAAUGUUAUUUCACUUUCCUAAUUGAAAUUCAACUCUAUUCAACGUGAAGCCAUGUUCUAGGUGAGAUAUUUUUGAAAGGAAUUUGUUCUACAAAGUUUAGAUGGUAUUUCUGUACCAAACAUUUAAUUCAACAAAGGAUUGAAUACAUCAA